rnacentral:rRNA from 1 species
AUGCGUCGGUGCACCACGUCGCUGCUCGUUUCCUGCCAAGACCGUCUCCGUGGAAUUUCUCCAAGUACAGCACCGACAAGACCACACGGAUGCCCGAAUGAGUACCGAACGAAACGCCAAGACCUACGAGAACGACUUUAUGGACCGACGAGUACCACGACGACCGUUGUUCGCCAAGUACACCUUCGGAUGGCCAAGUUCCUCUUCAAAUGUACGACUACACGGUGUUACGCCAAGUACCCGAUGGCCGGAGCCCUUGGACCCGUCAAGUCCGUCUACGAACCAUGUACGACUACCGUUGCUCGAAGCACCGUGGGUCACAAGCACCGCGAACGACUACCGCCGCCGAAGUCCGCGAGUACAACUACUUCCACAACGCGUUGUGUAUGA